GACGAACGCUGGCGGCGUGCUUAACACAUGCAAGUCGAACGGAAAGGCCCUGCUUUUGUGGGGUGCUCGAGUGGCGAACGGGUGAGUAACACGUGAGUAACCUGCCCUUGACUUUGGGAUAACUUCAGGAAACUGGGGCUAAUACCGGAUAGGAGCUCCUGCUGCAUGGUGGGGGUUGGAAAGUUUCGGCGGUUGGGGAUGGACUCGCGGCUUAUCAGCUUGUUGGUGGGGUAGUGGCUUACCAAGGCUUUGACGGGUAGCCGGCCUGAGAGGGUGACCGGCCACAUUGGGACUGCGAUACGGCCCAGACUCCUACGGGAGGCAGCAGUGGGGAAUAUUGCACAAUGGGCGGAAGCCUGAUGCAGCAAUGCCGCGUGCGGGAUGACGGCCUUCGGGUUGUAAACCGCUUUCGCCUGUGACGAAGCGUGAGUGACGGUAAUGGGUAAAGAAGCACCGGCUAACUACGUG
rnacentral:rRNA from 1 species